rnacentral:tRNA from 1 species
GGGGGUAUAGCUCAGUGGUAGAGCAUUUGACUGCAGAUCAAGAG